CUUAUAAAUUACCCAUUAGUGUGCACAAAAUAAGGGCUGAUCAUCUAAAGUCAUUGCAGGAAGAUGACUAUAGUCAGGGAACUAAUUUCAGAUGUAUGCAGAUGAAACUAGCCAGGAAGGAAAACUCUAGGUGUCUACGGAUGCCAGUAGCAAGUGUCCCGUGCUUGAACUACCAUCCGCAAUUUAGAUGUAAUGAGUGUGCUGGAAGCUAUCCUUUAUUUCAACCGGUCUUUGUGUCACUUCUGACCAUUAUAACCAAACAAUUUAAUGAAAGGUGGUGUAAAGUUUAGUUGUUUUGGAUCUUCUGAAGAGGAAAAGUGGCAAAGGAAAACACCAAAGUGGUGGAGCUGGCAAAAUGGCAAAGAAGAACACCAACAAGUUGUUAUUCGUGACCGUCGGUCCGUCGCCUCAAGGGCGACCAACGACCUCACUAACUAUUGCAUAAUUGAUAUUCCUCGCCUUGCCUCACAAGUCU